AAUUAGGGUUUCUUAUGGUAUAAAAUAAUAAAUUUAAAAAAGAAAAGAGAUCUAAAAAAUAUAGUGGUUUAGAGGCUUAAGUGAUGACUAGACAACAUUUAUGUCAUGUUGUCAGUACGCUGUAUCUCCAUGGCAGGUUCUUCUUGCAAAUGAAGUUUGACUGGAACACAGUCAGUGAUCUGGCUGCAUGUUUACAAUGGAGAUUGUUUGCAAAGACCUUAUUGUGAAGCCUGAAGUAAUUACUAUCUGAUGCUGUACAGAAAAGCUUGAUACUCAUAAUGUAUUCUUAUGUCUGUUGUAACUAACUGUUGUGACAGCAAUAGCAAUUUAUUCCAUCACAGUACUAGAGGCCAGAAAUCGAAAAUUAAGGUGUUGGCUGGGCAGUGCUGCUUCUCCAGCCUCUAGAGAAGGCUCCUCCCUCUCUGCUCCUCAUGGUAAUAUUGAGCAUUUCUGGCCCUGUCUUAGUGGUGUUACAAUCUCUUCAUCUUCACUUUACUACCUUUUGUUUUUCUCUCUGUGUUUCCUUUAAGGAGAGACAUCAUGCUUGAAAUGUCUGAAAAAUCAUCCAUGUGUAUGAAUAGUAAGAUUCCUUUUUUUUUUUUUUUAAUUUAAGAAAGGGCCUUAGGCUGGCCUAGAACUUGUUAUGUAGACCAGGCUGGCCUCAAGCCUGUAGGUCCCGUUCCUACCCAGUGCCACUACGCCCAGCAAUUCUGCUAUUUUGGAUCUAUCUUAAUCAAGUCUCUCUCUCUCUCUCUCUUUUCUUAACAUUUUAUUGAUUCUUUGUGAAUUUCACAUCAUUUACCCCAAUCCCACUUAUCCCUCCAUAUCUACCCUCUACCCUUCAACCUCCCC
rnacentral:lncRNA from 1 species